CACGUAGGGUGCGAGCGUUGUCCGGAAUUAUUGGGCGUAAAGAGCUCGUAGGCGGUGUGUCGCGUCGGCCGUGAAAACCUGCAGCUUAACUGUGGGCUUGCGGUCGAUACGGGCAUCACUGGAGUUCGGCAGGGGAGACUGGAAUUCCUGGUGUAGCGGUGAAAUGCGUAGAUAUCAGGAGGAACACCGGUGGUGUAGACGGCUCUCUGGACCGU
rnacentral:rRNA from 1 species